UACUUGGAUAACUGUGGUAAUUCUAGAGCUAAUACACGCAGGCAGGGUGCAUUUAUUAGAACAAAACCAAUAUUGGUGAAUCUGAAUAACUCACGGUCUCGUACCGGCGACGUAUCCUUCAAGUGUCUGCCUUAUCAACUGUCGAUGGUAGUUUACAUGACUACCAUGGUUGUAACGGGUAACGGAGAAUAAGGGUUCGACUCCGGAGAGGGAGCCUGAGAAACGGCUACCACAUCCAAGGAAGGCAGCAGGCGCGCAAAUUACCCACUCUCAGAGAGGAGGUAGUGACGAAAAAUAACGAGACAGUCCUCUAUGUCAUCGGAAUGGGUACAAUUUAAAUCCUUUAACGAGGAUCUAUUGGAGGGCAAGUCUGGUGCCAGCAGCCGCGGUAAUUCCAGCUCCAAUAGCGUAUAUAAAAGUUGUUGCGGUUAAAAAGCUCGUAGUUGGAUCUGCUCGACACUGGUUCUCUUCUUGAGAUUGUUAGAUGCUCUUGGUGCUCUUUACCGAGUGCCCGAGCGUCUAGCUCGUUUACUUUGAAAAAAUUAGAGUGCUUAACGCAGGCAUUAGCCUGAAUAGUGGUGCAUGGAAUAAUGGAAUAGGAGGUUCUAUUUUGUUGGUUUUCGGAGCAUGAGGUAAUGAUUAAGAGGGACAGACGGGGGCAUUCGUACUGCUACGUUAGAGGUGAAAUUCUUGGA
rnacentral:rRNA from 1 species